AGCUGCCAAUGAUGAUAACAAGCAAGAAAGUCAAAAAGAGAAUCCGUGUCUGGUCUCGGAGUCCUCCUUGCAACUUGAACCUAGUGUUCGAUCAGAUUCUAAUUCGAAUAAUUUUGGUUCUAGUGACGAGGAUUUCAAGCAAGAGUGCUCAAGAACGGCACCGCGAAGGCUUGCUUCUGGGAAUAGCCGGGCAUGGAGGCCAGAUGAUGCAUUUCGCCCACAGAGUCUGCCUAAUUUGUCAAAGCAGCGGAGCUUUCCAAAUGCAGAGAGGCAUUAUGGACAGGGUGGACUACCGUGGCAUUGUUCAAAUCCUGUUAACGUGCCUUCUUCCUGUCCUAUAUGUUGCGAGGAAUUGGAUGUAACAGAUACGAGUUUCUUGCCCUGCAUAUGC
rnacentral:misc_RNA from 1 species